rnacentral:rRNA from 1 species
UUUUAGAGUUUGAUUCCCUGCUCAGGACGAACGCUGGCGGCGUGCCUAAUACAUGCAAGUCGAACGCUUUUUCUUUCACCGGAGCUUGCUCCACCGAAAGAAAAAGAGUGGCGAACGGGUGAGUAACACGUGGGUAACCUGCCCAUCAGAAGGGGAUAACACUUGGAAACAGGUGCUAAUACCGUAUAACACUAUUUUCCGCAUGGAAGAAAGUUGAAAGGCGCUUUUGCGUCACUGAUGGAUGGACCCGCGGUGCAUUAGCUAGUUGGUGAGGUAACGGCUCACCAAGGCAACGAUGCAUAGCCGACCUGAGAGGGUGAUCGGCCACACUGGGACUGAGACACGGCCCAGACUCCUACGGGAGGCAGCAGUAGGGAAUCUUCGGCAAUGGACGAAAGUCUGACCGAGCAACGCCGCGUGAGUGAAGAAGGUUUUCGGAUCGUAAAACUCUGUUGUUAGAGAAGAACAAGGAUGAGAGUAAAAUGUUCAUCCCUUGACGGUAUCUAACCAGAAAGCCACGGCUAACUACGUGCCAGCAGCCGCGGUAAUACGUAGGUGGCAAGCGUUGUCCGGAUUUAUUGGGCGUAAAGCGAGCGCAGGCGGUUUCUUAAGUCUGAUGUGAAAGCCCCCGGCUCAACCGGGGAGGGUCAUUGGAAACUGGGAGACUUGAGUGCAGAAGAGGAGAGG